UGGCGGACGGGUGAGUAAUGUCUGGGAAACUGCCUGAUGGAGGGGGAUAACUACUGGAAACGGUAGCUAAUACCGCAUAACGUCGCAAGACCAAAGAGGGGGACCUUCGGGCCUCUUGCCAUCGGAUGUGCCCAGAUGGGAUUAGCUAGUAGGUGGGGUAAGGCUCACCUAGGCGACGAUCCCUAGCUGGUCUGAGAGGAUGACCAGCCACACUGGAACUGAGACACGGUCCAG
rnacentral:rRNA from 1 species